rnacentral:lncRNA from 1 species
GCAAUUGAGAGGAGCACACCUCCUAGAGAAAUCCAACCAUCUUUCCCAGUUUCCUUAAAGAACUUGAUGAUAUAAUAUGGAGAAAGGGCAGACACAAUUUUGGGAUUCCAAAAUAUAGUAUUAUACAGCCCAAUGACAAAAAUACAUAUCAACCAAAUAGUCACUAUAGGUGCAAACAAGAAUCCAACCCUUUGGAGCAGAUACAAUUUUGGGAUUCCAAAAUAUAGUAUUAUACAGCCCAAUGACAAAAAUAGAUAUCAACCAAAUAGUCACUAUAGGUGCAAACAAGAAUCCAACCCUUUGGGUUCCAGAAUGCUGUAGAGCAAACAGGCCAACCAAUAUUAUGCAAGACAGAAGUAGCAC